rnacentral:rRNA from 1 species
CUCGACUGCGUGAAGUCGGAAUCGCUAGUAAUCGCGAAUCAGAAUGUCGCGGUGAAUACGUUCCCGGGCCUUGUACACACCGCCCGUCACACCAUGGGAGGGGGUUGCACCAGAAGUAGCUAGUCUAACCUUCGGGAGGACGGUUACCACGGUGUGAUUCAUGACUGGGGUGAAGUCGUAACAAGGUAGCCGUAGGGGAACCUGCGGC